UCGGUAGAACUAAUACUGAAAAAUUUUGGAGGCUACCUAUGACCAAUAUUCAGGAUAUUCAGGAUCAAAGUCAUUGUUUUACUUGUCUGCAUUAACACUAAUUGAAAAGAAAGUAAAUAUAAAUGGAAUUAGGUAGAGAAAAAUACAAACUCAUUCAUAAUAUGUCCAUAAAAUAGUAAACAUUAUAUCUGUAUCAGCUGAAGUUUUAAAAAUUUAGAACAGUCCCCUAAGUAGCCAUAUAAAAGUGCUCAAGAAUAAAUUAAACUUUAAAUUUUAUAAGACAGAGUUAUAAGAGCUAAUACUGGCUACCAGUCAUAUGUAUAAAUCUUCCCAAAAAUCUAAAAAUAGGGAUGUGUUAAACAGAAUACACAAAGACAUAGACAAUGGCUCAUCAAGCUUUCCCAGCUAGGAACAUGUGGCUUUCCCAUACAUCAUUCAAUAAAAAACAGAUGGGGAAAACUGGCUGCCAGAAAGAAAGAAAAGAUAUACAGCAUGUUAUAAUUAUGAGCUUCAAAUAAACAAAGAGAAGGAGAAGAAUAUUUUAAAACAAAAAGCAAAGCUCUUUCCAUAAAAGCUCUCUCUCCUGACUAGGGCAAACUAAGGAUAAAAUGGCAUCCUCUCAGAAACAUUAAGUACGCCUGGGAUGAACAUUUUUAAACUAUCUAGAUACUCUCCGCUUCUUUGGUUAUAACAUUCCAAAUGCUUUGCCACUCCUGGUACUUGUGUUUCUGAGGUCCCAUCCAGGCUCUGGGGAUGGGACUGCAUGAUUCAUGUUGGUUCAGCCCCCUUUAGCCUCAUGAUCAAAUCAGGCCACAUCUGGGAUGGGCAUGUUUCUCAGCUGGUUCAAUUUGGAAUAAAUCCUAGGGUUUGUGCAGAAACUCUGAGGGAGCUAUGUUCAUUUUCACCAGAGUUGAACAUAGGAGGCUGUAGGUCUAGAGCUACUGACAGCAUCCUAACAUCACAUGGAAGUAGAAUGAAACCACUACGCAGGAGAGCAGGUUGAUGAGACAGACAGUGAGUUCUGAUGACAGCAUUUCAGGCCCUUGAGUAAGGUGAUCCUAAAUAGGAUGCACUUUGGAGGAAUUCCCCUGGUGACGCAGCGGAAACGAAUCCGACUAGGAACCAUGACUGCGGGUUCAAUCCCUGGCCUCGCUCCGUGGGUUAAGGAUCUGGCGUUGC
rnacentral:lncRNA from 1 species